AGCAGUUCAAACUCAAUGCACUUAGCAUUUCGAAGUGAUGGGUCUGUUAGCUAUACAGGUUUUCAUCUAGAAUAUAAAGCUAAGCUUCGGGAGUCAUGUUUUGAUCCUGGUAGUGUUAUGAAUGGUACUAGACUGGGGAGCGAUUACAAGCUGGGCUCUACAGUUACAUACUACUGUGAAGCAGGGUAUGUCCUUCAGGGACACUCAACUCUCACUUGCAUUAUGGGGGAUGAUGGGAGACCUGGGUGGAAUAGAGCUCUCCCUAGCUGCCAAGCUCCAUGUGGAGGUCGAUCAACUGGACCUGAGGGAACUGUGUUAUCACCAAACUAUCCCCGGAACUAUAGUGUCGGAAACAGUUGUAUUUACUCCAUUUCU